AAAAGUAUUAUUACUCUUCGGUAUUUUUUUUAUAGUUAAAGAAGUAUAAAGGAUGAGAGAUAUAUUAAAAGAGUAAUUUUCAGGUUAAAUAAUUUAGUGGUUUCUAAUCAUAUCUCAAAUUAAAUGGUUCAAAUCGAAAAAUACAUCUUUCGUUAAUGCGUAAUUGAUGACAUUCCGCAUUGAGAAUGUGUGCGGGUGUCAUUUGGUGAUUUUUUUGACUUGAUUGCAUCCUUUUUGUCAAAUUUAUUGUUGGUAUGGCUUCUUUGGUCUAGUUGUCCAACUUUUCCAAAGAUAUUGGGCAAGAUUUAGUAUGACUUGACUGAUUUGUUUUCAUUCUUUCUGAGAUAUGGAUAAACCAAUGAAUUAUUUGACGUUGAAGUUGUUCAUUUAUUCUUUGUAUCACUUUAUGUAUUUUUUAAGGAUUUUCUUUCUGACGUGAACAACGAAAAUAUCUGAUUUUUUUGGAUGAAUCAUUGUAAUAAUACGAUGAAAAUGCUAUUUAAGUUCGAGUCAAGAAAUGAUUUGAUUUAUGGGUUAUGAUUGAUAUUUUAACGAUAGCGACCAAUGAAAAUGUUUAUUUACAUAUAGUGUACAUUAGAGGGGAAGUAUAAAUAUUCAGAAAGGCAGUUUUUCUCUUCCAACUCAUUCUUUUUUGAUAAGAAAUUCUUAUUCAUGUAUGUUCUAAUCACUGAGCACUUUAAAAACCAUGAAAAUAAUGAAAUCGCCAUAAAACAUCAAGCCAAGAAAGAAACACAAGUAAAACCAGAAUCUCCUAUUGGUUUUACUUGCCAAAAUGCUGUUAAUAUUGACUGUGACGAACAAAAAUGCUACAGUCAAAUGAACACAUUAAGGAAGUGCAUCAUUUUAUUAUUGUUUGAUGAGAUCUAUAAAUGUAUUACACAAAAUAAAACUACUACGAAUAAAUCCGAUUUCAGCAAGCAUAAAAGUUUGCUUUUAUUCUGUUUCAUAUAAAUUGUGAUUAUUCCUUUGCUGAAUGUCAAUGUCAGUGUCAAUGUCGAGGUCGAUCUCGGUUUAAUUCUAGAUAAACAAAGCAAUCGGUGAAACUGUUGAAACGACAUCGCGUUCGGGCAUUUGACGACGAUUUGCUUCGCGGUUUCGUUCUCGGUAGCUCUUGCACGCGUGGUUUUGUGAUAAAAAAAGCAUUAUUAGUGUGUUUGGUGUAUGAAUACUAUAUUCUCUUUUGCCUUAUCUGAGCAAGUACUACAGUGUGUUUCAUUGAACAUUAUGAACAACUAUGAAGACGCCAAAUAGCUGACCAAGCUGCCGCUUUGGUUUUUCUUCCUAGUAUUCCUGAGAGAUUCGUGGAAACAUCUUCUGUGGAAUUGUGCCAACCACGAUGUCUUUGGGUUUUCUUCCUAGAGUCUUCGAGCAGGGUCUUUUGAUUAUCCGUGCUGUAACUACAACCACCGUGCUACAUUGGGUUAUCCUUCCGGAGUUGCCGAGUAGAUUCCUGAUUCACUUGUCCUGGGGGAGAGGUUCUCAUCAAAUUCGACCAUGACCUGAAUUGUGAGCUUUUUCGAUUAUCCUUACUGUAUUUAUUAUUUAAUUAAAUGUCGCUUUUUC